rnacentral:pre_miRNA from 2 species
GUGACCAAAGUAGUGUGCAGCCAAGGAUGACUUGCCGAUUUGAAAUAUAUUUUUAAUACUUUACUAAGACAUCUUUUCAGUUUCAAAUUUGUCUUGGAGAGGCUAGGAAGAAAUUACAAUUUAUUUCGUAGUUUAAAGAAAAAAUAUGAUCGGCAAGUUUUCCUUGGCUACAUGUUUCUUUGUGUCGC